rnacentral:misc_RNA from 1 species
GCGCCUUGAAAAGAGGCCAAAGCCUGCCAUUUUUAGCUCAAUUCGGCGAUGACCUGGAUCAAUCGUCCCGGCCUGCUUUUAUCAACUGCAUAAUCAAUCAAAAUUA